AUGCAGAGAAUGAACACAGCCCCAUGGCCAGGGAACUUAUUUGGUUUUGAGUUUCCUUCUGAGGAGCGAGAAAAGGUUAAGCAAGCAAACAAACAAACAACAGAAUGCUUUUGCUGAUAUAAAUUCUGAUCCAGGGCUGCACCAUAAUUGUUAUAAUUUGCACAAUGCAAUCUGCUGUUUUGGAUUGUUUUAGUAGAAGGACUUGGGAAGAUGGCAGACCAGACAUCCAUCUAGACUACGGUUAAUACAGAACAAUGCACACUUCAGAUGAUUUAUGGCUGGUAAGAGUACAUGCAGUGGAAAGGAAGAUGCUCUGCUUGCUCAUUAUAUAAAAUACUACACUUUUAUCGUACAUAAAAUAGCUUUUAAAGGUAAUGCCUGAGAAUGGAGUAGCACACAGGACAUCAUGCUAAACCCAUAUUGUUCUUUAUUAUUCAUUUUGCAGUUGUGGAAGGGAAUCUCAACACAACACGCCAGAAAAUGCAUGUAGAAGGAAGAUCAGAAGGUUGUCUGGUCCAUUGCUGUCCCUCUCACCUGCAGGAGUAUUGACUCCACCUAUAUCCUUCCUGACACAUGCAUGGAGAAGCCAGCUGCUCUGAGAAAGAAGCAAAGAGGAAAGUCCUAGGACGAAGGCAACUGUCCAGAAAGUGGUAAUGAAAAUGGGGACUGCAGCAACCUGAGGCAGCCUGGAGGCUCAUAGAGGAAGACCCUGUGGGGUGAGGAAGAAAUGCCUCAAAGAAGUCAUCCUGGCCACCACCAGCAGAAAUACUGCCUCAAGUUGAAACCUAAGACACAGGAAGAUGCUACAGAUAUGAGGUCUAUCCGAUAACUGUGUCUCAAUGGCAAUCACUUUCCCAAGCUCCUUCCUUGCAAAUCUGUGCUGGAAAGAUCUUUUGUAAAACUUCUUUUUCUUCCUGGGCUAUCAAAUCUGGAUCAGAUCAGCAGGCAUUAACAUGGAGUGGCCUGCAGCUUACUCACCUGCACAUCACGGUUCAUUGGCUUCUGUGCUUCAGGAAGAAAUCCCUUUGGCACUUUGUUGCAGUGCAUGAAUGGGCUGCUUCGGAAGUCUCAUCCGUGGAGUCUGAUCAUGAGGAGCAACUCAGAAAGCCCCUGCAAACCACUGAUGUGGGGGAAGUUGGAAAUGAGAACAGCCAUCAGCCAUCAGACGAGGCUGUGACAGCCAAGCUUUGGGCUUUGUUUUCCCUCUCCAAGAAGCACAGUAACUUUCCAAGUGCUUUCCCAAGGCAUGUGGAAACCCCCCCACACACCAUGCACAUCAGCACGGUUAGAUCCACCCUGAGGUCAGAGAGCACCCUGAAGUUCAGGGCCAUCCCACCAACCUCUGGGCUAUCAGGAGACAUCCAUGUGUCCCCGCUCCUUGCACAGCUCUCUUGUGCACUGCAGACAUUCCAUGCCUGGUGUUGCAAUCAGCAAUUACCAAAACAGAUCCUGCAAAGUCGACAGGGAGGUUGUUCAUCUGCAUGCAUUAACUGAAGGGCAAUCCAGUCUGCUUGGGAGUCAGAUUUUCCCCAGCAAAGCUGUGUAAAUAUAACUCCGAAGCAUUCAUAGACGUGCUGGGAAGUUUCCUCUGAGCCAAACAAUAUUUUUAAUUCGUUGAUAGCAUUUUAAUUUUCUCAUGAUGAAGAACCUCUAAAGGCAACCGCAUUGGAGAGGGAGAAAGGGUCAAGAGGCAAUUAAGAAAGGAAGAUCUUGCUUUUCACUGCUAGGAAAAACAGUUAAUUAGAUGAAACAAGCUAAAAAGAGAGAGAGAAGAGCUGAACUGUAAUUUGGAAAAUUUAAAAAGCUUUCUAUCAAAUAAAUUGAUUAGCACACUAAUCAUAAUCAGGACUCUUGGAUUAACAGUUAAUUUGGGGAAUCAAUUAAUAGCAGCAUUUUUCAAAUCAUGGCUGCCUCUGGAGCACAGGGAAUUCAUUGCGGUGUGUUUUUAGAGAUAACAGAUGCUGGAUUAGGG